rnacentral:rRNA from 1 species
CUACGUGCCAGCAGCCGCGGUAAUACGGAAGGUUCGGGCGUUAUCCGGAUUUAUUGGGUUUAAAGGGAGCGUAGGCCGGAGAUUAAGUGUGUUGUGAAAUGUAGACGCUCAACGUCUGACUUGCAGCGCAUACUGGUUUCCUUGAGUACGCACAACGUUGGCGGAAUUCGUCGUGUAGCGGUGAAAUGCUUAGAUAUGACGAAGAACUCCGAUUGCGAAGGCAGCUGACGGGAGCGCAACUGACGCUGAAGCUCGAAGGUGCGGGUAUCGAACAGGAUUAGAUACCCUGGUAGUCCGCACAGUAAACGAUGGAUGCCCGCUGUUGGUACCUAGUAUCAGCGGCUAAGCGAAAGCAUUAAGCAUCCCACCUGGGGAGUACGCCGGCAACGGUGAAACUCAAAGGAAUUGACGGGGGCCCGCACAAGCGGAGGAGCAUGUGGUUUAAUUCGAUGAUACGCGAGGAACCUUACCCGGGCUUGAAUUGCAGAGGAAGGAUUUAGAGAUA